AAUACUAUUAACCACAAAUUAUAUUCAUGAGUUUACAUUUACCAAUAUGUCUGUACAAAGCCAACUAUACUGGAGCCGGUUGUCAUACAUAAUUGCACCUAUAGUGAUGGUAGAACGUGAUGCUGUUGCAAGUGUUGCCAAAAAAUCGCGCAGAACAUGAUUCUUUGAAACAUCUCGAACUCACCCUAUGUCACCAUUUACACAGCUGAUAUGUAUAUAUUUCUCCGUCGACGCGAUACAACAGCUUAAAGCCAGUAAAUUUUCGAGUUUCUAAUUUCGGCGUAGGAAGUAUCACUAACGCUCACUAACGCCUCUGGCCCGACUAAACUUAAAUGUGCAACAAAACAACACCAAAUGGAUUUGACACCAAUUUUUAUUGUAUUUAUUUUGUUAUUUUUCUUCAAAGUAUAUGUAUUGUUUUAAAUCAUUUUAAAUUCACUUAAGCCUCAUUUGAUUAUGAGAACUUGUUUCAUUAUUUUUUCCUGCAUUUAUUUUUUUACAUUUUCUAGUAAAUGUCAUUUGAAGUCUGGGCGCACAGAUUAUAGAAAUGUGCUGUUGUUAUUGUAUUAAAGAGAUACUGAUAGUUUGUGCCAGUCGCAUUGUUGGGCGCAUGGAUAGAUGAAACUAACUUAGGACUACACAUACAAUAGACGCUAUGUGUGACGAUAUUUAGGCUACAUUUAGAGUGCAAAUACGCGUUUUAUACAGGGCAAAAUUAGUAUAAAUAUAAAUAAGUUUUUUUGAUCACAAAUUCCUUUUGCAAAAGCACACGCUCAAUUAAUUGAUGCACGUAGCAAACAAAAAAUUUCAAAAUUUUCAAA
rnacentral:lncRNA from 1 species